rnacentral:rRNA from 1 species
UGUGCCAGCMAGCCGCGGUAAUACGUAGGUGGCAAGCGUUAUCCGGAAUUAUUGGGCGUAAAGCGCGCGUAGGCGGUUUUUUAAGUCUGAUGUGAAAGCCCACGGCUCAACCGUGGAGGGUCAUUGGAAACUGGAAAACUUGAGUGCAGAAGAGGAAAGUGGAAUUCCAUGUGUAGCGGUGAAAUGCGCAGAGAUAUGGAGGAACACCAGUGGCGAAGGCGACUUUCUGGUCUGUAACUGACGCUGAUGUGCGAAAGCGUGGGGAUCAAACAGGAUUAGAUACCCUGGUAGUCCACGCCGUAAACGAUGAGUGCUAAGUGUUAGGGGGUUUCCGCCCCUUAGUGCUGCAGCUAACGCAUUAAGCA